rnacentral:misc_RNA from 1 species
AGUCGUAACAAGGUUUCCGUAGGUGAACCUGCGGAAGGAUCAUUACCUAGAGUUUGUGGACUUCGGUCUGCUACCUCUUACCCAUGUCUUUUGAGUACCUUCGUUUCCUCGGCGGGUCCGCCCGCCGGUUGGACAACAUUCAAACCCUUUGCAGUUGCAAUCAGCGUCUGAAAAAACUUAAUAGUUACAACUUUCAACAACGGAUCUCUUGGUUCUGGCAUCGAUGAAGAACGCAGCGAAAUGCGAUAAGUAGUGUGAAUUGCAGAAUUCAGUGAAUCAUCGAAUCUUUGAACGCACAUUGCGCCCCUUGGUAUUCCAUGGGGCAUGCCUGUUCGAGCGUCAUUUGUACCUUCAAGCUCUGCUUGGUGUUGGGUGUUUUGUCUCGCCUCCGCGCGCAGACUCGCCUUAAAACAAUUGGCAGCCGGCGUAUUGAUUUCGGAGCGCAGUACAUCUCGCGCUUUGCACUCAUAACGACGACGUCCAAAAGUACAUUUUUACACUCUUGACCUCGGAUCAGGUAGGGAUACCCGCUGAACCUAAGCAUAUCA